AUUGAACGCUGGCGGAAUGCUUUACACGUGCAAGUCGAACGGUAGAGGGGGCAACCCCUCGAGAGUGGCGAACGGGUGAGUAAUAUAUCGGAACGUGCCCAGUCGUGGGGGAUAACGUAGCGAAAGUUACGCUAAUACCGCAUACGAUCUAAGGAUGAAAGCGGGGGAUCGACAGACCUCGCGCGAGUGGAGCGGCCGAUAUCAGAUUAGGUAGUUGGUGGGGUAAAGGCUCACCAAGCCAACGAUCUGUAGCUGGUCUGAGAGGACGACCAGCCACACUGGAACUGAGACACGGUCCAGACUCCUACGGGAGGCAGCAGUGGGGAAUUUUGGACAAUGGACGCAAGUCUGAUCCAGCCAUUCCGCGUGCAGGAUGAAGGCCCUCGGGUUGUAAACUGCUUUUGUACGGAACGAAAAGGUCUCUCUAAAUACGGGGGACUCAUGACGGUACCGUAAGAAUAAGCACCGGCUAACUACGUGCCAGCCGCCGCUGUAACAC
rnacentral:rRNA from 1 species